rnacentral:rRNA from 1 species
ACUCCUACGGGAGGCAGCAGUAGGGAAUCUUCCGCAAUGGGCGAAAGCCUGACGGAGCAACGCCGCGUGAGUGAAGAAGGUCUUCGGAUCGUAAAACUCUGUUAUUAGGGAAGAACAAAUGUGUAAGUAACUAUGCACGUCUUGACGGUACCUAAUCAGAAAGCCACGGCUAACUACGUGCCAGCAGCCGCGGUAAUACGUAGGUGGCAAGCGUUAUCCGGAAUUAUUGGGCGUAAAGCGCGCGUAGGUCGGUUUUUAAGUCUGAUGUGAAAGCCCACGGCUCAACCGUGGAGGGUCAUUGGAAACUGGAAAACUUGAGUGCAGAAGAGGAAAGUGGAAUUCCAUGUGUAGCGGUGAAAUGCGCAGAGAUAUGGAGGAACACCAGUGGCGAAGGCGACUUUCUGGUCUGUAACUGACGCUGAUGUGCGAAAGCGUGGGAUCAAACAGGAUUAGAUACCCCGUGGUAGGAUAGCG